rnacentral:SRP_RNA from 1 species
ACUGGACACAGUGGUGCACACCUGUAGUUCCAGCUACUUGGGAGGCAGAGACAGGAGAUUGCUUGAGUCCAGAAGUUCUGCGCUGUAGUCUGCUAUGCCGAUUGGUUGUCCACACUAAGUUAGGCAUCAAUAUGGUGACCUCCUGGGAGCAGAGGACCUUCAGGUUGCCUAAGGAGCGGUGAUCUGGUCAAGGUCAGCAACAGAACAGGCCAAAACUCCCAUGCUGAUCAAAGAAAAAAGGCAGGAUUUUCUUAUUUUUAAAGGUGGCCCUAUGAGUCAGCACUUAAAAUUAGGACUGAU